UAAAAAAAUUGAAUUUGAGAAAUUCUAUUUGCAAUCCCUAAAUGGGGACUGCAUGUGCAAAUUCUUCAUUAAAUGGAAAAAAGUACCAUUUUGAUAAGGAUAUUAUUGUAAUUUUAAAAAAAAUUUAAAGACAAAAUUAACUAGGCUUGCAAU